rnacentral:misc_RNA from 1 species
GCGCGUUCGCACACACGAGGAGACAGUCACAGUCACAGUCUCGUUCAAGAUCAACUCGCUGUCCUGUCGACUCGCUGUGGUGUCACGCCGUGUUGACACUCAUUCGAACUUUGGCCGCCCUUCGUUACUGUGCUUUCACGAGGUUACUAAACUUGUGUUGUGUGUUUUACGUCCUGUCUCUCACGAUCGGAUUAAUAGUUGUGUGAAACUAUGUGGAUAUUGAGUGCUUGAAUGCAACAGGAUGCUGCUUCCAGAAACUAGUUACUUGGAUGAUAUUGUUUGUGGCAGCAGUAGUGAGACAGGUGUGGUGGUUGGUUGUGUGAUGUGUGUGCUGCGUUUGUGAAGUGUCAAAGUGGAGGAGUUUUUGCAGCAGUUGGGUGCAGGAGGCGGAGGCAACGACUUGGAGGAGGACGACGACUACACCGUCUCCGAUGAACAACAGCACAUGUCAGCCGCUGCCCUACUCGCCGACAAUGCCGGGCUCGGCGGCCCAUGUCAGCUUGAGGAGCAAGGCUGGGGGUCGAAGAUGAGCGCAGUCAUUGUGCCCGAAAAGAAAAGAAAGAAACUUGAUUCCAACGGCCAAGCUCAGCUCAGCAAGUGCCUUAAUGAAAAGAAAAGGCGGCAGCAGGAAAACCACCACAUCGAAGACUUGGCCGUCCUCCUGCAGCACGAGGGAGAGAUGAACUCUCUCUCUGUCAAGCCAGACAAGUGCGCCAUUCUUGAAUGUACCGUCAAACAGAUUGGAAAAAUUCAAGAGAACUCGUCAGGAGACGCAGUGCAACAAGCUGAUGUGUCAUCUUCGAAGCCAACCAUUCUACCUAACGACUAUUUCGGCAAUCUCCUCCUAGAAGUAUUUAUCAAACAAGCUCUGGAUGGUUUCCUGUUUGUGGUGAAUCCGGACGGCAAAGUCGAGUACGUGACGGACAACGUGACGCUGUUCAUCAAAUACAAGAAGGAGGAGAUCUUGGGCCGCAGCAUCUAUAACAUCAUCCACCUGGGCGACCACAACAAAUUCGCCACCAUCGUGCUGGGCAUCUCGCAGCUGCACAACACGCAGCAGGAGUCGGCCGUGCAGCUGCAGCGCAACCGGUCCUUCAUCUGUCGCUUCAAGUCCGACCAUCCCACCCAAAAUGACCCCAACCAUGAUCCCAACCACUUCAGCGACAAAUACGAGUAUUUACAGGUGUCGUCAACUCAAAUGCCACUGGCUGACCAGACCGGUAGUGGUGGUAGUGUGAGUGGUGGGGGCGGUAGCGAAGGCGGCGGCGGAGGCGGCAACAGCAGCAGCCUUGUGGAUGGAUACAGUGACAGCGGUCGGUGCAUAAUGUGCAUUGCGCGGCGCAUCGAGAAGAGCAUCGGUCCAGUCGAGCAGUUCACCAUUAAGCUUGACCGCAAUGCAACCAUCCUCAAUCUAGACAUACAAGGCGUAUCAAACACAUACUCUCAAUACCUCAAUAGGGACCUAGUAAAUAAGAAGAUAGACGAGCUGUGCCAUGCGGGGGACGUGGCGAAAGUGAACAAGUGGGUGGAGGAGGCACUGAGCAAAGGCCAGUGUCAGUCGGCGCCCUAUCGGCUCAGUGUGAGCCAGGCCCACGACAAGUACAUUCACGUGCAGACCCUAUUCAAGCACUACGACAGUGGCCCGGCUGGUGACGAAUUCAUCAUGGCUACACAUUCCAUCAUGCCGGACAGCAAUGACAUGGACAUGAGCCAUUCGCCACGUUCAAUAGGAAGUGGCAGCUCGUCAGUGAGUGCACUGAUGAGCAACGGAGGAGGCGUGGUGGGAGCGACGGUGGGCCGAGCUGUGUCGUCAUCUGACACCGUCUCCAACUCGUUCCCGUCACUGGACGCGUUCGGGGGUGACGACUCACUCGGCAUGGACACGGCACCCAGCUCGACGGGCAUCAGUCAAUGGGGAGCCUUCGCCACGGCCACCCAGCAGCCGGCCACGCCCCUCGACACCUCAGCCAGCGACAAAGAGGAGGCCACCAGCGACUCACGGCGACUGCGCAAACUGCUGACCAACCGACGCACCUCGUCGGUCGACAGCAACGACGGCUGCCACAAGAUACUCAAGAACCUGCUCGACAAGGACGACGAAGAGCAGCCGAGGGCGGCCUCUGGGGGUGGUGGCGGCGGCGGCAACCACAUGCUGCUCAAGCUGCUCAACGACAAGAACGACGUGAACGACCUUGACGCCAAGGUCAACCUGCGCACCCAGGAGGAGCUGCUGCAGCUGCUCAAGGACGAGGAGGCAGACGACUCGCUGCACCUGCAGCCGCAGCAGCGCCAGAAGCGGCCCAGUGAGGAGGGCGACGACAGCAGCAGCAGCGGCAGUGGCAAGCGACCCUCGUUGUCCGUCCUCGACACCCUGCCCUCGCCCACCACCCCCACCACCCCUGCCACACCCUCGCACCACCACCCCUUGCACCACCCUGUCUCCUCUUCCAAUGGGGGCAGCAACUCCAAGAACAGCAACCUCUGGGAGAAGAACAAGAUGCUCGCCUCACUGCUGGCCAAGCAGCCGCCAACACCCACCACCAUACCCCACAUACCCGCCUCCAUCAUCUCGGCCACGCCUCAGGACAAGAUGCCCAGGAUAGUCAAACAGCAAGCGCCUACAGCGAACUGGACGGGAGGAGGACUGCAGCAACAAAAUGUGAUGAGACCAAUGCAGCAGCAGCAGCAGCAACAACAACAGCUAGUGGACUCGAGUGGGCGUGGCCGCACAGUGCAGCAACUGCAGCAACAACAGCAGCAACAGCAGCAUCUGCAGCGGCAGCAUUACGUGCAGCAGCAGCUGCUAGAACAGCAGCAGUCGCAGCAGAGGUUCGACUUUCGAACGUCUGGCCACGAUUUCUCUGACUCAUCCGAUCCCUACCUCUCCGAAAUAUUGGAUGAAGUCAUUGAAAUCGUCGAUGUUGCUGAUCCGUCAGUGCUGAUGAACGUGCUGGGCCUGGGCACGAGCGGGUCAGACCCGGGUGGCGGAGGCAGCGGAGGCGGUGGCGGAGGCGGCUACCAGCAGACGUCCAUCAGCGACCAGACGUCGAUCAUCCAAGCCAUCCAGAACCAACUGAUGCAGGAGACGUCGGUGAGUCAGCAGCAGCAGCGACCGCCCCCACCACCACCCCCACAGCAACAGCAGUUCCACCCGCCGCCGCCCCUCUACCAGCCGCCCCGCACGCAGCUGCCCCCGCAGCAGCAGCAGCGAUUCCCCCCCAACAUGCAGCCCGGCGGCGGCAUCAGGCCUGGCGCACCUCACUAUGCCAUGGCCAACCAGCAACAGCAGUUGUUAAUGCAGCAGAAGAGGCAGAUUAUGCAGCAGCAGCAGAAGCAGCGCCUGUUGCAGCAGCAGCAACAGCAGCAGAUGCUGAUUCCGUCCAAUGCAGCCGCGUCGGGUCCAGACCCCCCCGGCCUCCACAACAUCGACCUCAUCAACAACCAAGGCCCGCCCAACGUCUCGCUUCAGAGAUCGUCUAGUGUACCUGACUCGCAGCUGUCGCCGAGCGGCUACGGCGCAUCGCAGAUGUCGCCGGGACAGCGAGGGGGCGCGCCCCAGCAGCAACCCUACUCGCCCCUGGGGCAACAGCAGCAGCCCCCGUACUCGCCGGUGGCCCCCUACCAGCAGCAGCAGCCGCAGCAGCCCUCGCCGCAGCAGCGACUGUCGCCCGCCGCCUUCCAGCCGCAGCAGUCGCCGCGAUCGCAGCAACAGCAGUAUGCGGCCGGCGGCAUCAGUCCCACCUGGUCACAACAGCAACAACAACAACAGCAGCAGCAGCAGCAGCAGAACAAUCGGCUGUCGCUGCAACAGCAGCAGAACCCCAUGCUCAAUGCUCAGCUCACGGGCGGUGCUUACCUAAAUAACAAUAGACUGCAGUACGUGACGAGUCCGUCGGCGGGAGGCGGCGGUCAAGUGCGUGGGGGCGGUGGUGGCGGGGGCGGACCGACCCAACUACCCCCAGUCAGGUCGCUGACGUCACCCGGGUCGCGGCAGUCGCCGUUCCCGCCCGAGGUGUCGCCGACGACUGCGGCCAGCUACCAGCAGCACCCACAGCAGCAGCAGCAGCAGCAGUUCAGGGUGCAGCGAGCCAUCAGCGCGCCCGGACCUCCGCAAGCCACCACUCAGUUACCAGGGGGCGUCCGCCAUUACGGACCAGCAAUGAAGGAUCACUCCCCGCUCGCCUCACCCUACCACAACCACCACAGCCAUCCGCCCCCGCCCCAUCACCCCCCUCAUCACCACAUGAUGUACCCCUCCGACUCCCCCUCCCCCUCCCAGCCGCCGCCACAACCUCAGUCCCAGUUCUGUUUCGAUCAGGUCGCUUUGCAAUAUUACGGCACGAGCUGUGACCGGGGUCGUCUUGCCCCCAACACCGGAGGUAACAACGGUAUGACGGAGUACGUUCGGCAGGAGCUGAGGGCGAUGGUUGGCGCAAGAACAGGGGGCUCGGGGGGAGGGGUGCAAGGGGUGCAGCAGCGUCCCCCCUCCGCCCAGCAGCAGUUGGCCCACCUGACACCUGGCCAACAAGUCACCGCAGCUGACCUCGAAGCACUUGGACUCUCCUUUGAACCACCUGAGUAUAUUGAAUUGUGACAUCUGGAACUCAAUUAACAAUCUGAAUUGGACCAAACGAAGUUAAUGACAUGGGCUAAUGGCCUCUAUUUCAUUUCUGGGGGUACUGACCUGGGGACUGCCUCUCCACAACCACCGUGCGGGCAUCCCUCUAGG